CCUAUCAUUUGCAUCACCAGAAUGCAUAAUUAGCCAACGACCACACCAACGAGGCAAAACAUCAACUGAAUAUUUUGAACGCUUAAAAGUAACAUAUAUACACACCUGGCGAAGCUCCUUCAAGAACGGGACAAAACGGAAAAGGCCAUCAUAGAUGAACGUGGUGGCAACAAAUACUCCUCCAGGUCUAAGAACACGGCUUAUCUCAGCAACCUAAAAGUUCCCAAGAGAACAUCAACAUUCUGAAGAUGGUGAAGGCCAGCAAUGUAACGCAGCACCAGCAUGGACAGCGUCAACUGAACCAGAAAGAAAAGGGAGUCUAGCUAUAUCUGCUCGAGCCAGUACAACGAUCCUGGAAAAAAACAACACAUCUUGUUACUUAAUAUUUAGAGAAUAAUGGAAUAAAAAGGUGUAAGUAACAAACUUUUUGUCAAUUAAGUUAGCUUCCUGUUUCAA